rnacentral:piRNA from 1 species
UGAUGUGGUGAACGAGAACCCGGAGUGGGUGU